rnacentral:rRNA from 1 species
AGCGAACGCUGGCGGCAUGCCUAACACAUGCAAGUCGAACGAAGUCUUCGGACUUAGUGGCGGACGGGUGAGUAACACGUGGGAACGUGCCUUUAGGUUCGGAAUAACUCAGGGAAACUUGUGCUAAUACCGAAUGUUCCCUCCGGGGGAAAGAUUUAUCGCCUUUAGAGCGGCCCGCGUCUGAUUAGCUAGUUGGGGAGGUAAAGGCUCACCAAGGCCACGAUCAGUAGCUGGUCUGAGAGGAUGACCAGCCACAUUGGGACUGAGACACGGCCCAAACUCCUACGGGAGGCAGCAGUGGGGAAUCUUGCGCAAUGGGCGAAAGCCUGACGCAGCCAUGCCGGGUGGAUGAUGAAGGUCUUAGGAUUGUAAAAUCCUUUCACCGGUGAAGAUAAUGACUGUAGCCGGAGAAGGAGCCCCGGCUAACUUCGUGCCAGCAGCCGCCGUAAAAC